GCGGGGGAGGGCCCGGAAGGGGGCGGCGCGGGCCCUGGGGCCUGGGACGCGGGGAGGAGGGACCUGCUCCUAGAGGAUGAAUGAUCCCUCGGUGAUCCCCUCAGGAGGGCUGGGAAGAACAAGGGGCCCUCUGAGGAAGAUGGGGCCAGCCAGGAGAGAGUGACCUCCUCGAGAGGGGGCUGAGUUCGGGUUGGGGGUAACGAGUGACCCCCUUAGGGGGCCUAAGAGGACUAGGGACCUUCUCAGAGGCCUUGAGGUCUGUGGAGAACAGCUACCCCUUAGGAGUGCAGGCUCCAGUGGGGGGAGCUGGGGCGGCGCUGCUUUCUCAAUUUCUGGGGGAAAAGUCUCAAAUAUCGGGUAUCUUAGGAACCCUGGGCUAAAGCCACAUACCCUGUAAAAUGUCCCGCUUGGAACUGAAGCCUGGCCACAUUCCUACUCUAACUCAAAUGCUUCCUUAGUUGCAGCCCAGGAAAGGAACACCCAUAGUUCCACCUCUUGGAACACAAUUUUCUACAUGUAUAUUUGUUCAUUCCCUUCAGAUAUGUUUUCACAGGUGAAUUUUGUAUUUAGUUUUGAAAGGACGGUGGAUCUUGUAAGCGAAAUAAAUCAGCUCUCUGCUCUCUCUCUCCCUCUCCACCUAGCUAACAGGUACCCUGCUGAGCUCUGUUUUCCCAACAUCUCAGAGGAGCCCAGCAGACAAAAGGACAUGUCAAUUUUUUUUAGUUGCUAGACCUAUUGACCAAAACUGCUUUUUAGCAUCUGUUUCUAUAGCCUGGAGUAGUUCCUGAGAAGCCCCUGGAUGACAGCAGGGGGGACAAACUCCAGACGUCAAACCCAGCCCAAAAUCAUAUCUUGAGGCAAGGUUGCUGACAAGCUAUCUAACAGCCAUUCCUGCUCCCUAUCACCAAAGCAAAGAAAAGGAUGCAUCAGUCUCACACAUCAUGCUGUUAUCUGCUUGCAGGUGCCUGGAACUGAGUUGACGUAACCAUCACAUUCAUGGAGAAGCGAGGGGGGUAGGCUGCAGAAGCUAAAGAAGGAAACAGCCUGGCGAAGAGAUGCAGAGGAGGAAAAAAAACCCCAAACCUGACUCUUGUCUAAUAGGCCAUAUGCUGAUCACAGAGAAUCCUCUUUGUGCUACCUGCUAGAUCAGUGGAUCUCAACCCUAUCAGACCCAAUAUCCCUUGGAAAAUAAAUAUUUUCCAAUAUUC